AACAGCUGACUAGCGAGUAGCGAUACAUGGCUUCGUGGGCAUCUGUUGACUUGUAGUUGCAGACUAAUUUGUAAAAGAAAGUUUCGUUUAAGGUCGCAGAGCGGACAUGUUGCGGAAGAAGGCUGCGAAUGAGCUGCUGAACAAGCUGCACAAGGGGUUCGUGCUGAGCUGCGUCGCGCUCACCGUCGCCGGCUGCGGCCUCCUCGGCAUGAACACCUUCCGCUACUUCACCGUGGUGCGGCCCGCCGUCAAGGAGAGGCAGCUGGAAGCGCAGCAGGAGCUGCUCGGCGAGGGCGCCGAGACGCUGACCGACGCCGCGCCGUCGGUGGGCGCCUGAGUCCGCGCCGUCCGUGUCCGCACUGACGGCUCAAGGUUGGCGAACGGGCAAAGUCCACCGGUAAACUCUACAGGGAGCUGUCUCGGAGGAGGUGUAAGCGGAUGUUGACGGUGAAGUAUAUUUGUGUGUCUCGAUCCGGAACUGCCGGGGACGUCGAUUCUCGAAUGUCAGUGUCGGAAUUUAUCUGUAAUAUUCCCGAACGGACACUUUGUCAGGAUGGCUCGUAGUGUGCAGUGUGUUUAUUGGCCGGUGCAUUCUAAACAUGUAAGACACCAGUGGAUUGUCUGUAUAUUGUAGAAAAUGAGUUUUCCUGUCCAUUGUGUCUAAAUAUUUUUGUUAAGAGCUGCAAUAAAAGGUUGUGUGUGAGAGA